CUCUCUCUUUCCCUCCGCGCUGCCUGCCUCCCCGAGGUUCUUCCUCCCGCCGAGCUCCGGUGCGGGGCAUGAGGAGCCCCGGGGCGCCGCCCGCACACCACCCGGCUGCGCGCACACCUCGCCAGCGGCCGACCGGGACAUGAGCAGCGCGCAAAGGGGCCAGCGUCCGGAGGCCAGCCCCAGUCGGCGGCGACCAGCGGGUCGGCUCUGCCCGGGAGAAUGAGGCAGGAGCAGCCGGCCGCUGGCUCUUCCUCUUCCUCCUCCCCCUUCUCCUCCUCCUCCUCCUCCUCUUCAUCGCCUUCCUCCGGCUCCCCGGGCCCAGGCCGGGCUGUGGUUUUGCUGUGUGCCCCGCGCGCCCCCCGCCCGCCUCCGGAUGCGUUGCUCGGUUAGCCUGGGGAGGAAGAUAAAGACGUUUGCAACCAAGAUGGUGCUCACGAGCGGCAAUGAUGAAGACAGAGGGGGCCAGGAGAAAGAGAGCAAAGAGGAGAGUGUCUUGGCGAUGCUGGGGAUUAUUGGGACCAUCCUGAACCUAGUUGUGAUCAUCUUUGUGUACAUAUACACCACUCUGUGAAUGGCCUGGUCACAGGGCCAGACAACGAGAAUCCCCUGCGUGGGUACACCAGAAACGCAGCACUGUGCAAACAGGCACACGUGGCCACACACAGAGGCACAGAUGCACCUUCGAACUUCCUAACAGGACCCAGAAAUAAACCGCUUCUGCUGCCAGGAGCAGACCCUAAAGCACAAUGAAUCUCAUAAAACUCAUUCUGGCCUGGAGGAACUCUGCAUCCCUGGCCCUGGGAAGUCCUGCCUCUGAUGUUGGGAAGCCCCAUUUCUGAUGCUGAGAAGCUCCGCCUCUGGUUUUGGGAAACUCUGCCUCUGAUGCCACAGUGGAGCAGGCAGGUGGGUGCAGGAAUCCAUCACCCCAGCUUGCUGACAGAUCCGCACGCUCGCUGCAUGCGUGCAGCUCGUCAGCGUGUCCCCUAGGAUGCUGCGUAGCUCAUCUCCUCUCUGUGAGCCAUUCAGCAGGAGAAGCUACCCACGCAGGCUUUGGGUCGACAUCCCAUCCAUCAAAAGUGUCUACUUGAGACCAGGGAGAUAGCUUAUUUUGCUUUCUUUUCUUUUUUUUCCCAUUGGCUUGACGUGUGAUCUCUGUUCAUAUCAAGGUUUAUAAAGAUCUAUUUUUAAUAAAUGUUGCUCUAUUUUUUAGCAUGAACCAAAUAUUGGGAGAGGCACUCCUGGAUUCACAGCUUUCCUGGAUUCUCAUCUGCUUUCCUCUGCCACUGUAGAUGUUCUGUUGUGCAGCCAUUCUACCUAGUUUUAUUUCUCUCAACUUCAAUCUUCAUUUCUCUUUCCCCCUUUCCUCCUUCUUGCCUCCCCCAUCUCUUUUUCACUAUCUCUCUCUACCUAAUCUUGAGGGUAUUUGUCCAUAAUACCAACCGUAGUUUUGAUGGGUGCAUGUUUUCAGAUUGUCCACUGAAGUGGCCUUUUGUUGCUCAAACAGAGACUGUGGGCAUGUGGCACUUAGAUGCACCUUAUCCUUACUGAGAAUGAUGCAUGAAUAAGGGCUGAGUGAGAGAUCAGCUUCAAACACACACACAUAGACACACGCGCACAUAUGCAAAACCACACCAAACCAUGUUUCAAGGACUACCAGUGGGGAAGCCCUCGUCUCUGCAGAUGAACCCUAGGAUGGAACUUUGGGCUUCCGGGGGGCAGCGUUAUUACUUCAUUCUUGUGACCAUUUGUUAAUCUGAUUUUGAUUUUAAUGGCUCCUGCAAGAGGAAUAGCUUAGCAUUCGGUGCAUAAUUCUUUAUUGAGCCUUGGGGAGGAAGGGGACUGUCAUCUACUGACAGUAGAUCCCCAUUAGGAGAGUCCCUCUGGGGUAUUUCACACUGGGGGGUCACCUCUGGACAAGUGGCAUGUUCUAGGCAAUGGGACAUGCCCUAAUGAUAGACCUAAACGAUCGCUGUUUUCUACCACCCCUUUUGAUAUCACCUGAAGCUAUUUCCUUCUGGAAGGGAUGUUGAAUUAAUGCAAGUUUUCCUUCCUUGUUCAUGAGGCUUUAGUGUGAUUCUAGCAGGACAGCCUUAAAGGGGUGCUCAGAAUUCCUCCAGCCCCUGCUAGACUUGUCCAUGGGGCAAAAACAGCAGCUGCUGGCCUGGGUGAACUCAAAGCAUGCCCAAGAGGUCUCUGCUGCCAAAUGUCUCCCUCCUCCAAAUGGUGGGCUCUGAAAUGCCAGCCCUGAGACAUUUCUUGACUCUGCUAAGUAACGGGCUUUUUAGAUCUGAAAGUCCCUGAAUGAAUAUUUCCAAGGCUGGUUCACCUGGAGUCCAUUCUUUCUUACUAGAAGGAAGGGAUCUAGGAUGUCUGGGAAAGUCCUACAUGCCCAACUCCUUACAGACCUAAGGCUCCUGACUCACAUCAUAACCCAGGAAGUGAAAGGAAAGCUCAGUGAGAUCAAGAACUGUCCCCAGUAAUCUGAGGCUGUGAGUAAUGUGAACUGGGACUUGGACCCCAUACUUGUAGUUUCUUAGUCCCAUGAGGGCCGACAGACUACUGGGAUGAUCCUGGGGGUGGAGGGAGCCCAAUUUCCCCCUAAGUUUUGGUGGAGAGGGGGCAGGUGCAAGAAAGGGCUGUCCAGGGCCAGUACAUGAACCUCAAAAGCUUUUCUGGGACCAACUCUGCACCCUGCAUCCCACUCUUUGGAAGCUAAGCUGCACAUUUCCUGGUGGCUGCAGGAUGUGAUGCAAUAGGAGGCAGGGCCAGAGGCUGCUUUAGAAAGAAGGAAAGUGGAAUGUGUGGGCGGGAGUCAGCUAACAGGUUCUAUGUGAUUCUAGAAAGAUUGUAUGAAAAUUUCGAACAAUGAAAAGAGUAAACAAUAAAGGUGCAAUGGAAAAAAA